GACGAACGCUGGCGGCGUGCCUAAUACAUGCAAGUAGAACGCACAGUUUAUACCGUAGCUUGCUACACCAUAGACUGUGAGUUGCGAACGGGUGAGUAACGCGUAGGUAACCUGCCUGGUAGCGGGGGAUAACUAUUGGAAACGAUAGCUAAUACCGCAUAAUAUUAAUUAUUGCAUGAUAAUUAAUUGAAAGGUGCAAUUGCACCACUACCAGAUGGACCUGCGUUGUAUUAGCUAGUAGGUGAGGUAACGGCUCACCUAGGCGCCGAUACAUAGCCGACCUGAGAGGGUGAUCGGCCACACUGGGACUGAGACACGGCCCAGACUCCUACGGGAGGCAGCAGUAGGGAAUCUUCGGCAAUGGACGAAAGUCUGACCGAGCAACGCCGCGUGAGUGAAGAAGGUUUUCGGAUCGUAAAGCUCUGUUGUAAGAGAAGAACGGGUGUGAGAGUGGAAAGUUCACACUGUGACGGUAUCUUACCAGAAAGGGACGGCUAACUACGUG
rnacentral:rRNA from 1 species